UUGUCUCAAAGAUUAAGCCAUGCAUGUCUCAGUACAAGCCAAAUUAAGGUGAAACCGCGAAAGGCUCAUUAAAUCAGUUAUGGUUCCUUAGAUCGUACCCACGUUACUUGGAUAACUGUGGUAAUUCUAGAGCUAAUACAUGCAAACAGAGCUCCGACCGGAGACGGAAGGAGCGCUUUUAUUAGAUCAAAACCAAUCGGUGGCGGUUUCCGUCAUCGUACAACUUGGUGACUCUGAAUAACUUUACGCUGAUCGCACGGUCUUGCACCGGCGACGCAUCUUUCAAAUGUCUGCCUUAUCAACUGUCGAUGGUAGGUUCUGCGCCUACCAUGGUUGUAACGGGUAACGGGGAAUCAGGGUUCGAUUCCGGAGAGGGAGCCUGAGAAACGGCUACCACAUCCAAGGAAGGCAGCAGGCGCGCAAAUUACCCACUCCCGGCACGGGGAGGUAGUGACGAAAAAUAACGAUACGGGACUCAUCCGAGGCCCCGUAAUCGGAAUGAGUACACUCUAAACCCUUUAACGAGGAUCAAUUGGAGGGCAAGUCUGGUGCCAGCAGCCGCGGUAAUUCCAGCUCCAAUAGCGUAUAUUAAAGUUGUUGCGGUUAAAAAGCUCGUAGUCGAAUCUGUGUCCCGCGCCGCCGGUUCAUCGUUCGCGGUGUUAACUGGCGUGUCGCGGGACGUCCUGCCGGUGGGCUUAGCUCGCAAGGGCGGCCCAACUCAAUCCCGCCGCGGUGCUCUUCAUUGAGUGUCGAGGUGGGCCGGCACGUUUACUUUGAACAAAUUAGAGUGCUUAAAGCAGGCUAAAACUUUGCCUGAAUACUGUGUGCAUGGAAUAAUGGAAUAGGACCUCGGUUCUAUUUUGUUGGUUUUCGGAACCCCGAGGUAAUGAUUAAUAGGAACGGAUGGGGGCAUUCGUAUUGCGACGUUAGAGGUGAAAUUCUUGGAUCGUCGCAAGACGGACAGAAGCGAAAGCAUUUGCCAAAAACGUUUUCAUUGAUCAAGAACGAAAGUUAGAGGUUCGAAGGCGAUCAGAUACCGCCCUAGUUCUAACCAUAAACGAUGCCAGCUAGCGAUCCGCCGACGUUCCUCCGAUGACUCGGCGGGCAGCUUCCGGGAAACCAAAGCUUUUGGGUUCCGGGGGAAGUAUGGUUGCAAAGCUGAAACUUAAAGGAAUUGACGGAAGGGCACCACCAGGAGUGGAGCCUGCGGCUUAAUU
rnacentral:rRNA from 1 species